UACGUAGGGUGCAAGCGUUGUCCGGAAUUAUUGGGCGUAAAGAGCGUGUAGGCGGCCUCGUAAGUCCGCUGUGAAAGUCCAGGGCUCAACCCUGGAAAGCCGGUGGAUACUGCGAGGCUAGAGUCCGGAAGGGGCGAGUGGAAUUCCUGGUGUAGCGGUGAAAUGCGCAGAUAUCAGGAGGAACACCUGUGGCGAAAGCGGCGCACUGGACCAUAACUGACGCUGAGGCGCGAAAGCUAGGGGAGCAAACAGG
rnacentral:rRNA from 1 species